CUUGCUCCAGUGAUGAGAAUGUUACCGCCCCAGUCUGAUUCCUGGGACGGAGAGGUUCCUUCUGAGUCUAG